rnacentral:rRNA from 1 species
ACGGGGCCCGCACAAGCGGUGGAGCAUGUGGUUAAUUCGACGCAACGCGAAGAACCUUACCAGGGCUUGACAUCCCCUGACCGCGUAUGAAAGUACGUUUUCACCCUCGGGUGACAGGGAGACAGGUGGUGCAUGGUUGUCGUCAGCUCGUGUCGUGAGAUGUUGGGUUAAGUCCCGCAACGAGCGCAACCCCUACGUUUAGUUGCUAACGCGUGAAGGCGAGCACUCUAGACGAACUGCCGUUGACAAAACGGAGGAAGGUGGGACGACGUCAAGUCAGCAUGACCUUUAUAUCCAGGGCUACACACACGCUACAAUGGUCAGUACAAUGGGUUGCCAAGCCGCGAGGCGGAGCCAAUCCUAAAAAGCUGGCCUCAGUUCAGAUUGCAGUCUGAAACUCGACUGCAUGAAGUCGGAGUUGCUAGUAAACGCAGGUCAGCUAUACUGCGUUGAAUACGUUCCCGGGGCUU